GGCAAAAUGGUUUCACUAACUCAAUCAUUGUGUAUUAUCUUUCUCCUCAUGUUUGCCUUAGGUGUCGAAGAGACAUUUGGAAAGAGAUGUAGAGUGCGAUAUGAUAUAUGUGGAGAUUGCGACAUGGCAUGUUGCAAUGAAUCUUGCAAGGCGGGAUCAUUUGCAAAUCUCAAUCCUACACCAUAUUGUUUAUUUAAGUAUUGUUUCUGCGACUAUGAUUGUUGAACAAAUUAUGUUAUUGUAGAAAAAUAAAUUGAUUUGCAAUUAUAAUUUUUA